AGAAUGAACGUUGGCGGCGUGGAUUAGGCAUGCAAGUCGUACGGGGCCGCAAGGUACCCGUGGCGCAAGGGUGAGUAAGGCGACGGCAACCAACCCCAAGGCCGAGCAUAGCCGCGAGAAAUUGCGGGUAAUUCUCGGCGACGUCACGAGUCGGCAUCGACCUGUGACCAAAGGUGUGAUUCCGCCUUGGGACGGACCGUCGUGGUAUCAGGUAGUUGGCGGGGUAAUGGCCCACCAAGCCGAUGACGCCUACCGGGCGUGCGAGCGUGGCCCGGCACACUGGGACUGAGACACUGCCCAGACUCCUACGGGAGGCUGCAGUCGAGAAUCUUCGGCAAUGGGCGAAAGCCUGACCGAGCGACGCCGCGUGGGGGACGAAGGCCUUCGGGUUGUAAACCCCUGUCGAGAGGGAGGAAGGUUCUGUGCAGAGCAGAGCUUGACCGAUCUCUGGAGGAAGCACGGGCUAAGUUCGCGCCAGCAGCCGCGGU
rnacentral:rRNA from 1 species